AUUGAACGCUGGCGGCAGGCUUAACACAUGCAAGUAGAGCGAGCGGCGGCCGGGUGAGUCAUGUCUGGGAAACUGACUGAUGGAGGGGGAUAACUACUGGAAACGGUAUCUAAUACCGCAUACCAUCAGAUGUGCCCAGAAGGGAUUAGCUAGGAGGUGGGGUAAUGGCUCACCUAGGCGAAGAUACCUAGCUGGUCUGAGAGGAUGACCAGCCACACUGGAACUGAGACACGGUCCAGACGCCGACGGGAGGCAGAAGUGGGGAAUAUGGCACAAUGGGCGCAAGCCUGAUGCAGCCAUUCCGCGUGUGUGAAGAAGGCCUUCGGGUUGUAAAGCACUUUCAGCGAGGAGGCGUUACUCGCAGAAGAAGCACCGGCUAACUCCGUGCCAGCCGCCGCGGUAAUAC
rnacentral:rRNA from 1 species